GAAAGUGUUAGUAUUUCAACGGUUGUCAAACUUGCCGCUUACGUGUCGUCACCCGAAAACGCGUGAUUCUGUGACGUUGUCACGCAAAUGAUAUCAUUCGAUAUAAAUAACAUAAUAAAAAUUUCUUGCAAUCUGUGCAAUUGCAAUGGUGUAGUUUCAUAGUAAACUCAUGAAUAUGCAACAGAACGUAUUAGUGAUAUCAGUAGACUGCGCAAACAUACGAUUCACUGUGUAGGCAAAGUGUCCUUUUAAGGUUAUGCCACAGUUGUUGAGAGGUUAAAAUAUUUUUAAGAGAAGAAAUUCGUGUCAAUGCGAGUGACAAUUGGCACAAGCUCAAAUUUUUACGAUCAUGGUCGACGAAGAUAUCAUUGCGAACGCAUCGCCGUACGAUUAUCACGCAGUGAAUGCGGAGAAUGCUCAGAACACCUCUAGAGAGAAACGAAUACAAGACACAAUGUUUUCGGACGUUAGAUCAGUCAGUAAAAAAGACUGGAUAACAGUAUUGUGUUUGUGUUUUGUCAACCUCAUCAAUUAUAUGGAUCGUUUCACGAUCGCUGGAGUGUUGACAAACAUAAAGCAUGACUUUGGUAUUCGCAAUGAUUUGUCUGGAUUUUUACAGACUGCAUUUAUCUUAAGUUACAUGAUAUUUGCACCAAUGUUUGGGUAUUUAGGGGAUCGUUACAACAGGAAAGUUAUAAUGAGCGCUGGUGUAUUUUUGUGGUGUUUAACUACAUUUGUUGGCUCUUAUAUGAAGUCAUUUGGAUGGUUUCUCUUCUUCAGGGCUCUUGUUGGAGUAGGUGAAGCCAGUUACUCCACAAUUGCUCCAACAAUAAUAAGCGACUUAUUUGUUAAAGAUUUGCGCUCUAAAAUGCUUGCAUUGUUUUACUUUGCGAUACCUGUUGGAAGUGGAUUAGGGUAUAUAAUAGGUGGUGAAACAGCAAAAGCUACCGGUGCAUGGCAAUGGGGUUUACGUAUCACACCAGCUUUAGGUAUCAUAGCAAUUAUUUUACUCCUUGUGAUAGUAAGAGAUCCAAUCAGGGGGGAAAGAGAAGGUGGAGUUCAUUUGACAAGUACCGCAUGGUCAAGUGACAUCAAAGCAUUAUUAAGAAACCCAAGUUUUAUGUUCUCUACUGCUGGAUUUACAUGUGUAGCUUUUGUUGCUGGAGCACUAGCUUGGUGGGCACCAACAUUUUUACAGUUGGGAUUUGCAUUACAUCCUAAUGCACAUGAUGCUGAUCCUGAUGAUGUUGCAUACAAAUUUGGACUAAUAGGAAUGGCAGCUGGUUUAAUAGGAGUACCAUUAGGUUCACUUCUAGCUCAAAAACUAAGAGUAAAUUAUCAACAGGCUGAUCCUUUAAUAUGUGCUGUUGGACUUCUCAUUAGUGUACCAUUACUGUUCUUUGCAACUUUAACUGCCAAUACAAAUUCUGUCAUAUGUUAUACAUUAGUAUUCUUUGGACAAUUAUCAUUAAAUUUAAAUUGGUCUAUUGUCGCCGACAUCUUAUUGUAUGUAGUGAUUCCAACAAGAAGAUCUACAGCAGAAGCUUUCCAGAUACUCAUUGCCCAUGCUUUAGGAGAUGCAGGAAGCCCCUAUCUUAUUGGUCUGUUGUCAGAAGGACUGAAAACAGUUCUUCUUCCAGACACGGACAUAAAACCUACGACACACGAUGAUCAGCUUAUCGAGUUCCGAAGUUUACAAUAUGCAUUGUUUCUGACUAUGUUCGUAGAGGUCAUUGGAAGUCUAUUUUUCUUCCUCACGGCAUUGUAUAUACAGAAGGAUAAAGCACUAGUAGAUCUUACAAUCGCGGAAAAGUAUCUAGAUUCUAAGAAUAAUGGGCAAGCUGAAUCAACGCAUUUAUAAAAUGCAUCACUGGGCCUUCCCUGAUAGUAUGCUGUAAACCCGAAAAUGAUGAAGCUUGCCUACUAAGAAGAUUUUACACAUCAUAAAAUCAGUGUGUUUUGUUAGUUCUGCAUGACAAAUGGUUGCAUGUGGAAGUAUUUCAGACUCAAUGUACAUAUGUAACAACGAAGUUGAAAAUGAAUUACAAGAUGACAUGCACAAACCAUAAUGAGAAUAUUAG
rnacentral:misc_RNA from 1 species